rnacentral:snRNA from 1 species
AUGGGAAGAUUGCGCCGGUGGGAA